rnacentral:rRNA from 1 species
CGGAACGGGUGAGUAACGCGUGAGGAACCUGCCUCAAAGAGGGGGACAACAGUUGGAAACGACUGCUAAUACCGCAUAAGCCCACGGCUCGGCAUCGAGCAGAGGGAAAAGGAGUGAUCCGCUUUGAGAUGGCCUCGCGUCCGAUUAGCUAGUUGGUGAGGUAACGGCCCACCAAGGCGACGAUCGGUAGCCGGACUGAGAGGUUGAACGGCCACAUUGGGGCUGAGACACGGCCCAG